rnacentral:sRNA from 1 species
GUUGGGUGUGGUGGUGCACACCUGUAAUCCCAGCAACUUGGGAGACUGAGGCAAGAGGAUUGGGAGUUCUAAGCCAGCCUCAG